AGCGAACGCUGGCGGCAGGCCUAGCACAUGCAAGUCGAGCGGCCGUAGCAAUACGGCAGCGGCAGACGGGAGAGUAACACGUGGGAACGCGCCCUUUGGUUCGGAAGAACUCAGGGAAACUUGAGCUAAUACCGGAUAAGCCCUUACGGGGCAAGAUUUAUCGCCAAAGGAAGGGCCCGCGUCCGAUUGGCUACGUGGUGAGGUAAAGGCUCACCAAGGCGACGAUCGGUAGCUGGUCUGCGAGGAUGACCAGCCUCACUGGGACUGAGACACGGCCCAGACUCCUACGGGAGGCAGCAGUGGGGAAUAUUGGACAAUGGGCGCAAGCCUGAUCCAGCCAUGCCGCGUGAGUGAUGAAGGCCUUAGGGUUGUAAAGCUCUUUUAGCAGGGAAGAUAAUGACGGUACCUGCAGAAAAAGCCCCGGCUAACUGCGUGCCAGCCGCCGCCGUAAAAC
rnacentral:rRNA from 1 species